UUGGGCGGAUCGAACGUGGGUCGACAGAAAUAUCUCCCUCGUCACCCCCUUUCUCUCCCUCGUCUCAUCCCAUCCCGAUCCUCUUCUCCAUGCCGCCGCCGCCGCUUCCCCCCUCCCUCUCAGCCGCCUGUCUCCCCCACCUCCACCACCUCCUCCUCUCCUGCCUCCUCAUCCAACCAGCACAGCCAGACCAGCGUUGUGGAUGAGGAGGCGACAGAUCGGGAGGCGGGCAAGAGGAACCAGGCGGUUCUCCUUCCAUGGCCGGGCCUCGACCUGCCGCAUCUUCUUCCUCCCAGUCCGGGGGAGAGGAGUGGUGGAUCCGCCUCCUCAAGCGAGCAUGGGCGCACGGGGAUUCGAUUCAGGGAUCUCCUUGCGAGAGGCCGCCACCGUACUGACUCCAACCUGCAACCUGUUCCAACUCAGAAAGUGACAGUUAAAGAAGAACCAGAUGCCACUGAAGAUGCCAAUGUCCUAGCACUGCCAUAAGCAUCGCAAACCACUCGAGUACCUUCAUUCCCCGCGUAGAACUGUUCAAGAAAAGCACAUGUCAAACCAACAGCGCGGAGGAGCCGGCUUCCCGUGUCAGAGUUGUGUGUAAUUGCGGGCUACUUCACCAUCAUCAGCCCAUUGGCAGUAUUGUAGGGAUGGACAUAUGGAUUGAGUGGUACCCUCCUGAAAGAUACACAUCUCAGCAGCCAAGAACUUCAAUAAAAAUGGAAGAGGUAUGAAAUUCUCAACUUAGGAAGGAACAUCCAACCUGUAAUGUGUCGAUCACUAACUAAUAAACAUGAAUAUGAUGUUGGAAAGAAGCAAUUGGAUAUCAAAGCAAAAGGAUCACGGCUCCUCUUACAAAUCAGUGAAGUAUUCUAAUUCUGGCGAUCUAAGCGUCGGUCCAGGCGGCGCUCCCUCGGCUACGCCUGGGUGUUCGAGCUGUCAGUGUGGUACAGGAGCAUCAGCCACCACCGCUGCCAAGGAGCUCCAGCAACCACAUGAUCACUCUUGCUUCACAGACUAUGUAUGGUCAGUUCAGAAAAUUGGAGGUUUUAGGAUCUUUGGAAGUUCUUUGAGGCAUCACCCUUCUUCUCCGCAGUUGAAAGGCCUUGAGCAGCUAAGAUAACUCAAAUGUGUACGCUCAUUCAAAGAACAUGGUUCAGGCCUUAACCAUGUAUGUUUGACGCAGUACAGCGUGGGGGAGGCGGUGUCCUCUGCAGCAAGGUCUACUUGCUGGCGACCUCACCAUCACCAACCCAUCUGCAGAUGAAGAUAGAAAAUAUUUGUUAUAUUCUUAUCCAAUUAGUUCACACCAUUGUUGUGAGCAACAGAAGAUUCAGAACUUUCAAGCUCCUUUUUUUCUUGCUAGCCAUGAAGGUGAUACUUUAGUAAAAGAUGGUCUGAAAACCAAGAUAUGCCAGAGAUAAUAACUAUAGUGGCUGCUCCAGAUGGACUAAGAAUGGGACCAUAUCCUAGGCCUACAUGCUAAUAUUGUACACCAAUGAAUGCUUCACUUAUUUAUACUUAAUCAGAUGUGUAAUGAUAAACGCGAUAUUAGCUUUUGUACCCAUCUUCAUGGUUGAAAUACUUUUCUGCAACCCGUGACACAUUUGCUUCAGUUUCCAUAUGUCUUGCUUCAUGCUAUCAACAUUGUUAACCGUUUAUCUUUAUCUUUCUUUCCCUUUACAGCCUACUUGAAUGGAUAUGGUUCUUAAGAGGUCAUUUCUUAUGCAUCAGGUCCUGAAGGUGGAUGUUGCUUGUUUAGAUAUCUAUGAUUCCAAAUUAUUCAAAACGGUUCAUGUCAUACUGGAUGCUAUUUUAUUGAGAGUGGCUUCGAACAAUAUGGCAUGAACAUAUUUGUUUUCUCUUUGGCCAACAUAUUUGUUUCUCUUUGGCCAAUAAUGAAAUGAUCUUUGUGCACAUAAAAUGGCCAUCGAUACAAUAAUUCUUGGUUUUAUUUAGCUUCUUGCGCUAACCGGUUUGAUACAUUCUACUAUCUGUAAUACAAUCCACAUUGCAUCAUCUUUCAAUU